GUUUUCCAGCUUUUAGUCUGACUUUAUUCUAACUUUAAUGUUAACAGCUGAGGCCUGAAGAGUUUCCAAACGUCUGACAGAGUUCUUCGUCUCGCCUGCUCUCAUCCCAAAGUGUUCAGACGUUCCAUCGGGACAGACCGGCAAACACAAGCCGUUUGAGGACCGAGAGGAGGCGAAGAGGAGGAACUCUCUGACCUGUAAAGACGAAGCAGUCCGACACGUCGAGGAGCCGGUGAGU